AGUGAACGCUGGCGGUAGGCCUAACACAUGCAAGUCGAACGGCAGCACAGUAAGAGCUUGCUCUUACGGGUGGCGAGUGGCGGACGGGUGAGGAAUACAUCGGAAUCUCCUUUUUCGUGGGGGAUAACGUAGGGAAACUUACGCUAAUACCGCAUACGACCUACGGGUGAAAGCAGGGGAUCUUCGGACCUUGCGCGAUUGAAUGAGCCGAUGUCGGAUUAGCUAGUUGGCGGGGUAAAGGCCCACCAAGGCGACGAUCCGUAGCUGGUCUGAGAGGAUGAUCAGCCACACUGGAACUGAGACACGGUCCAGACUCCUACGGGAGGCAGCAGUGGGGAAUAUUGGACAAUGGGCGCAAGCCUGAUCCAGCCAUACCGCGUGGGUGAAGAAGGCCUUCGGGUUGUAAAGCCCUUUUGUUGGGAAAGAAAAGCAGCAGAUUAAUACCCCGCUGUUCUGACGGUACCCAAAGAAUAAGCACCGGCUAACUUCGUG
rnacentral:rRNA from 1 species